rnacentral:rRNA from 1 species
CCUACGGGGGGCUGCAGUGAGGAAUAUUGGUCAAUGGACGAGAGUCUGAACCAGCCAAGUAGCGUGAAGGAUGACUGCCCUAUGGGUUGUAAACUUCUUUUAUAUGGGAAUAAAAUGUUCCACGUGUGGGAUUUUGUAUGUACCAUAUGAAUAAGGAUCGGCUAACUCCGUGCCAGCAGCCGCGGUAAUACGGAGGAUCCGAGCGUUAUCCAGAUUUAUUGGGUUUAAAGGGAGCGUAGGUGGAUUGUUAAGUCAGUUGUGAAAGUUUGCGGCUCAACCGUAAAAUUGCAGUUGAAACUGGCAGUCUUGAGUACAGUAGAGGUGGGCGGAAUUCGUGGUGUAGCGGUGAAAUGCUUAGAUAUCACGAAGAACUCCGAUUGCGAAGGCAGUUCACUGGACUGCAACUGACACUGAGGCUCGAAAGUGUGGGUAUCAAACAGGAUUAGAUACCCGUGUAGUC